UACGGAGGGAGCUAGCGUUGUUCGGAAUUACUGGGCGUAAAGCGCACGUAGGCGGCUUUGUAAGUUAGGGGUGAAAGCCCGGAGCUCAACUCCGGAAUUGCCUUUAAGACUGCAUCGCUUGAAUCCGGGAGAGGUGAGUGGAAUUCCGAGUGUAGAGGUGAAAUUCGUAGAUAUUCGGAAGAACACCAGUGGCGAAGGCGGCUCGCUGGACCGGUAUUGACGCUGAGGUGCGAAAGCGUGGGGAGCAAACAGG
rnacentral:rRNA from 1 species